AUGACUAGAUGUCAACUUGACAAGGAAAACUUUUGUGGAGCAGAUGGUACACUGGUUAUUUCACAGGACAAGUGUUGUCUCUAUUCUAGUAUAUGUGCAUAUGUACAAUCUUGUUACAAGAUCCUUAACAUUACACAGGGGCAAUAUACAGUGGAUACAUUAUUGUGUAUUUGGGGUUGCAAGCAAACUACGCAUAUAUGUAGAUAUCUGCUCCUAAAUGAAAAAAAUCCGCCAAUUCAUUGGAUGUACAACAGUCUGAAUUGGAGCGAGAUGGGGGCUUCCUUCCAAGUCACUAAGAUUAUUCCUUAA
rnacentral:rRNA from 1 species